GACACCACCUUGAUAGCUCAGUUGGUAGAGCAGAGGACUGUAGGCAGUUCCUCCUGUGAAGUGCUGUGGUUCCAAGGUCGCUGGUUCAACUCCCGCUCAAAGCAAGCCUUGUGUUCAUCUGUCAGCUCCUCCAAAAUUUAAAAACACAAACAAGAUAACUCCUACUUUAUUUUCCAACCGUCAAUUUUUUAUUCACCCAGCCUAAAAGUCCUGAUUAUCAGUUCUGGGUCCCUGGCAAUGACUGUUGGGUACAAACUGAGAAGCUGUGCUCUGAAGGUAGGGCUGGGCUUUUCACUGACCAUGUAGGUGGAUUAGUUGUGUGGGCAAAGUGUGUCAUCAUAGCCACUAUGUUUUCUGCACUUGGAGUAGACAGCACCUUGAUAGCUCAGUUGGUAGAGCAGAGGACUGUAGGCAGUUCCUCCUAUGAAGUGCUGUCGUUCCAAGGUCGCUGGUUCAACUCCCGCUCAAAGCAAGCCUUGACUUCAUCUGUCACCUCCUCCAAAAUUUAAAAACACAAACAAGAUAACUCCUACUUUAUUUUCCAACCAUCAAUUUUUUAUUCACCCAGCCUAAAAGUCCUGAUUAUCAGUUCUGGGUCCCUGGCAAUGACUGUUGGGUACAAACUGAGAAGCUGCGCUCUGAAGGUAGGGCUGGGCUUUUCACUGACCAUGUAGGUGGAUUAGUUGUGUGGGCAAAGUGUGUCAUCAUAGCCACUAUGUUUUCUGCACUUGGAGUAGACAGCACCUUGAUAGCUCAGUUGGUAGAGCAGAGGACUGUAGGCAGUUCCUCCUAUGAAGUGCUGUCGUUCCAAGGUCGCUGCUUCAACUCCUGCUCAAAGCAAGCCUUGUCUUCAUCUGUCAGCUCCUCCAAAAUUUAAAAACACAAACAAGAUAACUCCUACUUUAUUUUCCAACCAUCAAUUUUUUAUUCACCCAGCCUAAAAGUCCUGAUUAUCAGUUCUGGGUCCCUGGCAAUGACUGUUGGGUACAAACUGAGAAGCUGUGCUCUGAAGGUAGGGCUGGGCUUUUCACUGACCAUGUAGGUGGAUUAGUUGUGUGGGCAAAGUGUGUCAUCAUAGCCACUAUGUUUUCUGCACUAGGAGUAGACAGCACCUUGAUAGCUCAGUUGGUAGAGCAGAGGACUGUAGGCAGUUCCUCCUAUGAAGUGCUGUGGUUCCAGGGUCGCUGGUUCAACUCCCGCUCAAAGCAAGCCUUGUGUUCAUCUGUCAGCUCCUCCAAAAUUUAAAAACACAAACAAGAUAACUCCUACUUUAUUUUCCAACCAUCAAUUUUUUAUUCACCCAGCCUAAAAGUCCUGAUUAUCAGUUCUGGGUCCCUGGCAAUGACUGUUGGGUACAAACUGAGAAGCUGUGCUCUGAAGGUAGGGCUGGGCUUUUCACUGACCAUGUAGGUGGAUUAGUUGUGUGGGCAAAGUGUGUCAUCAUAGCCACUAUGUUUUCUGCACUUGGAGUAGACAGCACCUUGAUAGCUCAGUUGGUAGAGCAGAGGACUGUAGGCAGUUCCUCCUAUGAAGUGCUGUGGUUCCAAGGUCGGUGGUUCAACUCCCGCUCAAAGCAAGCCUUGUCUUCAUCUGUCAGCUCCUCCAAAAUUUAAAAACACAAACAAGAUAACUCCUACUUUAUUUUCCAACCGUCAAUUUUUUAUUCACCCAGCCUAAAAGUCCUGAUUAUCAGUUCUGGGUCCCUGGCAAUGACUGUUGGGUACAAACUGAGAAGCUGCGCUCUGAAGGUAGGGCUGGGCUUUUCACUGACCAUGUAGGUGGAUUAGUUGUGUGGGCAAAGUGUGUCAUCAUAGCCACUAUGUUUUCUGCACUUGGAGUAGACAGCACCUUGAUAGCUCAGUUGGUAGAGCAGAGGACUGUAGGCAGUUCUUCCUAUGAAGUGCUGUCGUUCCAGGGUCGCUGGUUCAACUCCCGCUCAAAGCAAGCCUUGUGUUCAUCUGUCAGCUCCUCCAAAAUUUAAAAACACAAACAAGAUAACUCCUACUUUAUUUUCCAACCAUCAAUUUUUUAUUCACCCAGCCUAAAAGUCCUGAUUAUCAGUUCUGGGUCCCUGGCAAUGACUGUUGGGUACAAACUGAGAAGCUGUGCUCUGAAGGUAGGGCUGGGCUUUUCACUGACCAUGUAGGUGGAUUAGUUGUGUGGGCAAAGUGUGUCAUCAUAGCCACUAUGUUUUCUGCACUUGGUGUAGACAGCACCUUGAUAGCUCAGUUGGUAGAGCAGAGGACUGUAGGCAGUUCCUCCUGUGAAGUGCUGUGGUUCCAAGGUCGCUGGUUCAACUCCCGCUCAAAGCAAGCCUUGUGUUCAUCUGUCAGCUCCUCCAAAAUUUAAAAACACAAACAAGAUAACUCCUACUUUAUUUUCCAACCGUCAAUUUUUUAUUCACCCAGCCUAAAAGUCCUGAUUAUCAGUUCUGGGUCCCUGGCAAUGACUGUUGGGUACAAACUGAGAAGCUGUGCUCUGAAGGUAGGGCUGGGCUUUUCACUGACCAUGUAGGUGGAUUAGUUGUGUGGGCAAAGUGUGUCAUCAUAGCCACUAUGUUUUCUGCACUUGGAGUAGACAGCACCUUGAUAGCUCAGUUGGUAGAGCAGAGGACUGUAGGCAGUUCCUCCUAUGAAGUGCUGUCGUUCCAAGGUCGCUGGUUCAACUCCCGCUCAAAGCAAGCCUUGACUUCAUCUGUCACCUCCUCCAAAAUUUAAAAACACAAACAAGAUAACUCCUACUUUAUUUUCCAACCAUCAAUUUUUUAUUCACCCAGCCUAAAAGUCCUGAUUAUCAGUUCUGGGUCCCUGGCAAUGACUGUUGGGUACAAACUGAGAAGCUGCGCUCUGAAGGUAGGGCUGGGCUUUUCACUGACCAUGUAGGUGGAUUAGUUGUGUGGGCAAAGUGUGUCAUCAUAGCCACUAUGUUUUCUGCACUUGUAGUAGACAGCACCUUGAUAGCUCAGUUGGUAGAGCAGAGGACUGUAGGCAGUUCCUCCUAUGAAGUGCUGUCGUUCCAAGGUCGCUGCUUCAACUCCUGCUCAAAGCAAGCCUUGUCUUCAUCUGUCAGCUCCUCCAAAAUUUAAAAACACAAACAAGAUAACUCCUACUUUAUUUUCCAACCAUCAAUUUUUUAUUCACCCAGCCUAAAAGUCCUGAUUAUCAGUUCUGGGUCCCUGGCAAUGACUGUUGGGUACAAACUGAGAAGCUGCGCUCUGAAGGUAGGGCUGGGCUUUUCACUGACCAUGUAGGUGGAUUAGUUGUGUGGGCAAAGUGUGUCAUCAUAGCCACUAUGUUUUCUGCACUUGGAGUAGACAGCACCUUGAUAGCUCAGUUGGUAGAGCAGAGGACUGUAGGCAGUUCCUCCUAUGAAGUGCUGUGGUUCCAGGGUCGCUCGUUCAACUCCCGCUCAAAGCAAGCCUUGUGUUCAUCUGUCAGCUCCUCCAAAAUUUAAAAACACAAACAAGAUAACUCCUACUUUAUUUUCCAACCAUCAAUUUUUUAUUCACCCAGCCUAAAAGUCCUGAUUAUCAGUUCUGGGUCCCUGGCAAUGACUGUUGGGUACAAACUGAGAAGCUGUGCUCUGAAGGUAGGGCUGGGCUUUUCACUGACCAUGUAGGUGGAUUAGUUGUGUGGGCAAAGUGUGUCAUCAUAGCCACUAUGUUUUCUGCACUUGGAGUAGACAGCACCUUGAUAGCUCAGUUGGUAGAGCACAGGACUGUAGGCAGUUCCUCCUAUGAAGUGCUGUGGUUCCAAGGUCGCUGGUUCAACUCCCGCUCAAAGCAAGCCUUGUCUUCAUCUGUCAGCUCCUCCAAAAUUUAAAAACACAAACAAGAUAACUCCUACUUUAUUUUCCAACCAUCAAUUUUUUAUUCACCCAGCCUAAAAGUCCUGAUUAUCAGUUCUGGGUCCCUGGCAAUGACUGUUGGGUACAAACUGAGAAGCUGCGCUCUGAAGGUAGGGCUGGGCUUUUCACUGACCAUGUAGGUGGAUUAGUUGUGUGGGCAAAGUGUGUCAUCAUAGCCACUAUGUUUUCUGCACUUGGAGUAGACAGCACCUUGAUAGCUCAGUUGGUAUAGCAGAGGACUGUAGGCAGUUCUUCCUAUGAAGUGCUGUCGUUCCAGGGACGCUGGUUCAACUCCCCCUCAAAGCAAGCCUUGUGUUCAUCUGUCAGCUCCUCCAAAAUUUAAAAACACAAACAACAUAACUCCUACUUUAUUUUCCAACCAUCAAUUUUUUAUUCACCCAGCCUAAAAGUCCUGAUUAUCAGUUCUGGGUCCCUGGCAAUGACUGUUGGGUACAAACUGAGAAGCUGUGCUCUGAAGGUAGGGCUGGGCUUUUCACUGACCAUGUUGGUGGAUUAGUUGUGUGGGCAAAGUGUGUCAUCAUAGCCACUAUGUUUUCUGCACUUGGAGUAGACAGCACCUUGAUAGCUCAGUUGGUAGAGCACAGGACUGUAGGCAGUUCCUCCUAUGAAGUGCUGUGGUUCCAAGGUCGCUGGUUCAACUCCCGCUCAAAGCAAGCCUUGUCUUCAUCUGUCAGCUCCUCCAAAAUUUAAAAACACAAACAAGAUAACUCCUACUUUAUUUUCCAACCAUCAAUUUUUUAUUCACCCAGCCUAAAAGUCCUGAUUAUCAGUUCUGGGUCCCUGGCAAUGACUGUUGGGUACAAACUGAGAAGCUGUGCUCUGAAGGUAGGGCUGGGCUUUUCACUGACCAUGUAGGUGGAUUAGUUGUGUGGGCAAAGUGUGUCAUCAUAGCCACUAUGUUCUCUGCACUUGGACUAGACAGCACCUUGAUAGCUCAGUUGGUAGAGCAGAGUAAUGUAGGCAGUUCCUCCUAUGAAGUGCUGUGGUUCCAAGGUCGCUAGUUCAACUCCCGCUCAAAGCAAGCCUUGUGUUCAUCUGUCAGCUCCUCCAAAAUUUAAAAACACAAACAAGAUAACUCCUACUUUAUUUUCCAACCAUCAAUUUUUUAUUCACCCAGCCUAAAAGUCCUGAUUAUCAGUUCUGGGUCCCUGGCAAUGACUGUUGGGUACAAACUGAGAAGCUGUGCUCUGAAGGUCGGGCUGGGCUUUUCACUGACCAUGUAGGUGGAUUAGUUGUGUGGGCAAAGUGUGUCAUCAUAGCCACUAUGUUUUCUGCACUUGGAGUAGACAGCACCUUGAUAGCUCAGUUGGUAGAGCAGAGGACUGUAGGCAGUUCCUCCUAUGAAGUGCUGUGGUUCCAAGGUUGCUGGUUCAACUCCCGCUCAAAGCAAGCCUUGUCUUCAUCUGUCAGCUCCUCCAAAAUUUAAAAACACAAACAAGAUAACUCCUACUUUAUUUUCCAACCAUCAAUUUUUUAUUCACCCAGCCUAAAAGUCCUGAUUAUCAGUUCUGGGUCCCUGGCAAUGACUGUUGGGUACAAACUGAGAAGCUGUGCUCUGAAGGUAGGGCUGGGCUUUUCACUGACCAUGUAGGUGGAUUAGUUGUGUGGGCAAAGUGUGUCAUCAUAGCCACUAUGUUUUCUGCACUUGGAGUAGACAGCACCCUGAUAGCUCAGUUGGUAGAACAGAGGACUCUAGGCAGUUCCUCCUAUGAAGUGCUGUGGUUCCAAGGUCGCUGGUUCAACUCCCGCUCAAAGCAAGCCUUGUCUUCAUCUGUCAGCUCCUCCAAAAUUUAAAAACACAAACAAGAUAACUCCUACUUUAUUUUCCAACCGUCAAUUUUUUAUUCACCCAGCCUAAAAGUCCUGAUUAUCAGUUCUGGGUCCCUGGCAAUGACUGUUGGGUACAAACUGAGAAGCUGUGCUCUGAAGGUAGGGCUGGGCUUUUCACUGACCAUGUAGGUGGAUUAGUUGUGUGGGCAAAGUGUGUCAUCAUAGCCACUAUGUUUUCUGCACUUGGAGUAGACAGCACCUUGAUAGCUCAGUUGGUAGAGCAGAGGACUGUAGGCAGUUCCUCCUAUGAAGUGCUGUGGUUCCAAGGUCGCUGGUUCAACUCCCGCUCAAAGCAAGCCUUGUCUUCAUCUGUCAGCUCCUCCAAGAUUUAAAAACACAAACAAGAUAACUCCUACUUUAUUUUCCAACCAUCAAUUUUUUAUUCACCCAGCCUAAAAGUCCUGAUUAUCAGUUCUGGGUCCCUGGCAAUGACUGUUGGGUACAAACUGAGAAGCUGUGCUCUGAAGGUAGGGCUGGGCUUUUCACUGACCAUGUAGGUGGAUUAGUUGUGUGGGCAAAGUGUGUCAUCAUAGCCACUAUGUUUUCUGCACUUGGAGUAGACAGCACCUUGAUAGCUCAGUUGGUAGAGCAGAGGACUGUAGGCAGUUCCUCCUAUGAAGUGCUGUGGUUCCAAGGUUGCUGGUUCAACUCCCGCUCAAAGCAAGCCUUGUGUUCAUCUGUCAGCUCCUCCAAAAUUUAAAAACACAAACAAGAUAACUCCUACUUUAUUUUCCAACCGUCAAUUUUUUAUUCACCCAGCCUAAAAGUCCUGAUUAUCAGUUCUGGGUCCCUGGCAAUGACUGUUGGGUACAAACUGAGAAGCUGUGCUCUGAAGGUAGGGCUGGGCUUUUCACUGACCAUGUUGGUGGAUUAGUUGUGUGGGCAAAGUGUGUCAUCAUAGCCACUAUGUUUUCUGCACUUGGAGUAGACAGCACCUUGAUAGCUCAGUUGGUAGAGCAGAGGACUGUAGGCAGUUCCUCCUAUGAAGUGCUGUGGUUCCAAGGUCCCUGGUUCAACUCCCGCUCAAAGCAAGCCUUGUCUUCAUCUGUCAGCUCCUCCAAAAUUUAAAAACACAAACAAGAUAACUCCUACUUUAUUUUCCAACCAUCAAUUUUUUACUCACCCAGCCUAAAAGUCCUGAUUAUCAGUUCUGGGUCCCUGGCAAUGACUGUUGGGUACAAACUGAGAAGCUGUGCUCUGAAGGUAGGGCUGGGCUUUUCACUGACCAUGUAGGUGGAUUAGUUGUGUGGGCAAAGUGUGUCAUCAUAGCCACUAUGUUUUCUGCACUUGGAGUAGACAGCACCUUGAUAGCUCAGUUGGUAGAGCAGAGUAAUGUAGGCAGUUCCUCCUAUGAAGUGCUGUGGUUCCAAGGUCGCUGGUUCAACUCCCGCUCAAAGCAAGCCUAGUGUUCAUCUGUCAGCUCCUCCAAAAUUUAAAAACACAAACAAGAUAACUCCUACUUUAUUUUCCAACCAUCAAUUUUUUAUUCACCCAGCCUAAAAGUCCUGAUUAUCAGUUCUGGGUCUGGCAAUGACUGUUGGGUACAAACUGAGAAGCUGUGCUCUGAAGGUAGGGCUGGGCUUUUCACUGACCAUGUAGGUGGAUUAGUUGUGUGGGCAAAGUGUGUCAUCAUAGCCACUAUGUUUUCUGCACUUGGAGUAGACAGCACCUUGAUAGCUCAGUUGGUAGAGCAGAGGACUGUAGGCAGUUCCUCCUAUGAAGUGCUGUGGUUCCAAGGUCGCUGGUUCAACUCCCGCUCAAAGCAAGCCUUGUCUUCAUCUGUCAGCUCCUCCAAAAUUUAAAAACACAAACAAGAUAACUCCUACUUUAUUUUCCAACCAUCAAUUUUUUAUUCACCCAGCCUAAAAGUCCUGAUUAUCAGUUCUGGGUCCCUGGCAAUGACUGUUGGGUACAAACUGAGAAGCUGUGCUCUGAAGGUAGGGCUGGGCUUUUCACUGACCAUGUAGGUGGAUUAGUUGUGUGGGCAAAGUGUGUCAUCAUAGCCACUAUGUUUUCUGCACUUGGAGUAGACAGCACCCUGAUAGCUCAGUUGGUAGAACAGAGGACUCUAGGCAGUUCCUCCUAUGAAGUGCUGUGGUUCCAAGGUCGCUGGUUCAACUCCCGCUCAAAGCAAGCCUUGUCUUCAUCUGUCAGCUCCUCCAAAAUUUAAAAACACAAACAAGAUAACUCCUACUUUAUUUUCCAACCGUCAAUUUUUUAUUCACCCAGCCUAAAAGUCCUGAUUAUCAGUUCUGGGUCCCUGGCAAUGACUGUUGGGUACAAACUGAGAAGCUGUGCUCUGAAGGUAGGGCUGGGCUUUUCACUGACCAUGUAGGUGGAUUAGUUGUGUGGGCAAAGUGUGUCAUCAUAGCCACUAUGUUUUCUGCACUUGGAGUAGACAGCACCUUGAUAGCUCAGUUGGUAGAGCAGAGGACUGUAGGCAGUUCCUCCUAUGAAGUGCUGUGGUUCCAAGGUCGCUGGUUCAACUCCCGCUCAAAGCAAGCCUUGUCUUCAUCUGUCAGCUCCUCCAAAAUUUAAAAACACAAACAAGAUAACUCCUACUUUAUUUUCCAACCAUCAAUUUUUUAUUCACCCAGCCUAAAAGUCCUGAUUAUCAGUUCUGGGUCCCUGGCAAUGACUGUUGGGUACAAACUGAGAAGCUGUGCUCUGAAGGUAGGGCUGGGCUUUUCACUGACCAUGUAGGUGGAUUAGUUGUGUGGGCAAAGUGUGUCAUCAUAGCCACUAUGUUUUCUGCACUUGGAGUAGACAGCACCUUGAUAGCUCAGUUGGUAGAGCAGAGGACUGUAGGCAGUUCCUCCUAUGAAGUGCUGUGGUUCCAAGGUCGCUGGUUCAACUCCCGCUCAAAGCAAGCCUUGUCUUCAUCUGUCAGCUCCUCCAAAAUUUAAAAACACAAACAAGAUAACUCCUACUUUAUUUUCCAACCAUCAAUUUUUUAUUCACCCAGCCUAAAAGUCCUGAUUAUCAGUUCUGGGUCCCUGGCAAUGACUGUUGGGUACAAACUGAGAAGCUGCGCUCUGAAGGUAGGGCUGGGCUUUUCACUGACCAUGUAGGUGGAUUAGUUGUGUGGGCAAAGUGUGUCAUCAUAGCCACUAUGUUUUCUGCACUUGGAGUAGACAGCACCUUGAUAGCUCAGUUGGUAGAGCAGAGGACUGUAGGCAGUUCUUCCUAUGAAGUGCUGUCGUUCCAGGGUCGCUGCUUCAACUCCCCCUCAAAGCAAGCCUUGUGUUCAUCUGUCAGCUCCUCCAAAAUUUAAAAACACAAACAAGAUAACUCCUACUUUAUUUUCCAACCAUCAAUUUUUUAUUCACCCAGCCUAAAAGUCCUGAUUAUCAGUUCUGGGUCCCUGGCAAUGACUGUUGGGUACAAACUGAGAAGCUGUGCUCUGAAGGUAGGGCUGGGCUUUUCACUGACCAUGUUGGUGGAUUAGUUGUGUGGGCAAAGUGUGUCAUCAUAGCCACUAUGUUUUCUGCACUUGGAGUAGACAGCACCUUGAUAGCUCAGUUGGUAGAGCACAGGACUGUAGGCAGUUCCUCCUAUGAAGUGCUGUGGUUCCAAGGUCGCUGGUUCAACUCCCGCUCAAAGCAAGCCUUGUCUUCAUCUGUCAGCUCCUCCAAAAUUUAAAAACACAAACAAGAUAACUCCUACUUUAUUUUCCAACCAUCAAUUUUUUAUUCACCCAGCCUAAAAGUCCUGAUUAUCAGUUCUGGGUCCCUGGCAAUGACUGUUGGGUACAAACUGAGAAGCUGUGCUCUGAAGGUAGGGCUGGGCUUUUCACUGACCAUGUAGGUGGAUUAGUUGUGUGGGCAAAGUGUGUCAUCAUAGCCACUAUGUUCUCUGCACUUGGACUAGACAGCACCUUGAUAGCUCAGUUGGUAGAGCAGAGUAAUGUAGGCAGUUCCUCCUAUGAAGUGCUGUGGUUCCAAGGUCGCUAGUUCAACUCCCGCUCAAAGCAAGCCUUGUGUUCAUCUGUCAGCUCCUCCAAAAUUUAAAAACACAAACAAGAUAACUCCUACUUUAUUUUCCAACCAUCAAUUUUUUAUUCACCCAGCCUAAAAGUCCUGAUUAUCAGUUCUGGGUCUGGCAAUGACUGUUGGGUACAAACUGAGAAGCUGUGCUCUGAAGGUCGGGCUGGGCUUUUCACUGACCAUGUAGGUGGAUUAGUUGUGUGGGCAAAGUGUGUCAUCAUAGCCACUAUGUUUUCUGCACUUGGAGUAGACAGCACCUUGAUAGCUCAGUUGGUAGAGCAGAGGACUGUAGGCAGUUCCUCCUAUGAAGUGCUGUGGUUCCAAGGUUGCUGGUUCAACUCCCGCUCAAAGCAAGCCUUGUCUUCAUCUGUCAGCUCCUCCAAAAUUUAAAAACACAAACAAGAUAACUCCUACUUUAUUUUCCAACCAUCAAUUUUUUAUUCACCCAGCCUAAAAGUCCUGAUUAUCAGUUCUGGGUCCCUGGCAAUGACUGUUGGGUACAAACUGAGAAGCUGUGCUCUGAAGGUAGGGCUGGGCUUUUCACUGACCAUGUAGGUGGAUUAGUUGUGUGGGCAAAGUGUGUCAUCAUAGCCACUAUGUUUUCUGCACUUGGAGUAGACAGCACCCUGAUAGCUCAGUUGGUAGAACAGAGGACUCUAGGCAGUUCCUCCUAUGAAGUGCUGUGGUUCCAAGGUCGCUGGUUCAACUCCCGCUCAAAGCAAGCCUUGUCUUCAUCUGUCAGCUCCUCCAAAAUUUAAAAACACAAACAAGAUAACUCCUACUUUAUUUUCCAACCGUCAAUUUUUUAUUCACCCAGCCUAAAAGUCCUGAUUAUCAGUUCUGGGUCCCUGGCAAUGACUGUUGGGUACAAACUGAGAAGCUGUGCUCUGAAGGUAGGGCUGGGCUUUUCACUGACCAUGUAGGUGGAUUAGUUGUGUGGGCAAAGUGUGUCAUCAUAGCCACUAUGUUUUCUGCACUUGGAGUAGACAGCACCUUGAUAGCUCAGUUGGUAGAGCAGAGGACUGUAGGCAGUUCCUCCUAGGAAGUGCUGUGGUUCCAAGGUCGCUGGUUCAACUCCCGCUCAAAGCAAGCCUUGUGUUCAUCUGUCAGCUCCUCCAAAAUUUAAAAACACAAACAAGAUAACUCCUACUUUAUUUUCCAACCAUCAAUUUUUUAUUCACCCAGCCUAAAAGUCCUGAUUAUCAGUUCUGGGUCCCUGGCAAUGACUGUUGGGUACAAACUGAGAAGCUGUGCUCUGAAGGUAGGGCUGGGCUUUUCACUGACCAUGUAGGUGGAUUAGUUGUGUGGGCAAAGUGUGUCAUCAUAGCCACUAUGUUUUCUGCACUUGGAGUAGACAGCACCUUGAUAGCUCAGUUGGUAGAGCAGAGGACUGUAGGCAGUUCCUCCUAUGAAGUGCUGUGGUUCCAAGGUUGCUGGUUCAACUCCCGCUCAAAGCAAGCCUUGUGUUCAUCUGUCAGCUCCUCCAAAAUUUAAAAACACAAACAAGAUAACUCCUACUUUAUUUUCCAACCGUCAAUUUUUUAUUCACCCAGCCUAAAAGUCCUGAUUAUCAGUUCUGGGUCCCUGGCAAUGACUGUUGGGUACAAACUGAGAAGCUGUGCUCUGAAGGUAGGGCUGGGCUUUUCACUGACCAUGUAGGUGGAUUAGUUGUGUGGGCAAAGUGUGUCAUCAUAGCCACUAUGUUUUCUGCACUUGGAGUAGACAGCACCUUGAUAGCUCAGUUGGUAGAGCAGAGGACUGUAGGCAGUUCCUCCUAUGAAGUGCUGUGGUUCCAAGUUCGCUGGUUCAACUCCCGCUCAAAGCAAGCCUUGUCUUCAUCUGUCAGCUCCUCCAAAAUUUAAAAACACAAACAAGAUAACUCCUACUUUAUUUUCCAACCAUCAAUUUUUUAUUCACCCAGCCUAAAAGUCCUGAUUAUCAGUUCUGGGUCCCUGGCAAUGACUGUUGGGUACAAACUGAGAAGCUGCGCUCUGAAGGUAGGGCUGGGCUUUUCACUGACCAUGUAGGUGGAUUAGUUGUGUGGGCAAAGUGUGUCAUCAUAGCCACUAUGUUUUCUGCACUUGGAGUAGACACCACCUUGAUAGCUCAGUUGGUAGAGCAGAGGACUGUAGGCAGUUCCUCCUAUGAAGUGCUGUGGUUCCAAGGUCGCUGGUUCAACUCCCGCUAAAGGCAAGCCUUGUGUUCAUCUGUCAGCUCCUCCAAAAUUUAAAAACACAAACAAGAUAACUCCUACUUUAUUUUCCAACCAUCAAUUUUUUAUUCACCCAGCCUAAAAGUCCUGAUUAUCAGUUCUGGGUCCCUGGCAAUGACUGUUGGGUACAAACUGAGAAGCUGUGCUCUGAAGGUAGGGCUGGGCUUUUCACUGACCAUGUAGGUGGAUUAGUUGUGUGGGCAAAGUGUGUCAUCAUAGCCACUAUGUUUUCUGCACUUGGAGUAGACAGCACCUUGAUAGCUCAGUUGGUAGAGCAGAGGACUGUAGGCAGUUCCUCCUAUGAAGUGCUGUGGUUCCAAGGUCGCUGGUUCAACUCCCGCUCAAAGCAAGCCUUGUGUUCAUCUGUCAGCUCCUCCAAAAUUUAAAAACACAAACAAGAUAACUCCUACUUUAUUUUCCAACCGUCAAUUUUUUAUUCACCCAGCCUAAAAGUCCUGAUUAUCAGUUCUGGGUCCCUGGCAAUGACUGUUGGGUACAAACUGAGAAGCUGUGCUCUGAAGGUAGGGCUGGGCUUUUCACUGACCAUGUAGGUGGAUUAGUUGUGUGGGCAAAGUGUGUCAUCAUAGCCACUAUGUUUUCUGCACUUGGAGUAGACAGCACCUUGAUAGCUCAGUUGGUAGAGCAGAGGACUGUAGGCAGUUCCUCCUAUGAAGUGCUGUCGUUCCAAGGUCGCUCGUUCAACUCCCGCUCAAAGCAAGCCUUGUGUUCAUCUGUCAGCUCCUCCAAAAUUUAAAAACACAAACAAGAUAACUCCUACUUUAUUUUCCAACCAUCAAUUUUUUAUUCACCCAGCCUAAAAGUCCUGAUUAUCAGUUCUGGGUCCCUGGCAAUGACUGUUGGGUACAAACUGAGAAGCUGUGCUCUGAAGGUAGGGCUGGGCUUUUCACUGACCAUGUAGGUGGAUUAGUUGUGUGGGCAAAGUGUGUCAUCAUAGCCACUAUGUUUUCUGCACUUGGAGUAGACAGCACCUUGAUAGCUCAGUUGGUAGAGCAGACGACUGUAGGCAGUUCCUCCUAUGAAGUGCUGUCGUUCCAGGGUCGCUUGUUCAACUCCCGCUCAAAGCAAGCCUUGUCUUAAUCUGUCAGCUCCUCCAAAAUUUAAAAACACAAACAAGAUAACUGCUACUUUAUUUUCCAACCAUCAAUUUUUUAUUCACCCAGCCUAAAAGUCCUGAUUAUCAGUUCUGGGUCCCUGGCAAUGACUGUUGGGUACAAACUGAGAAGCUGCGCUCUGAAGGUAGGGCUGGGCUUUUCACUGACCAUGUAGGUGGAUUAGUUGUGUGGGCAAAGUGUGUCAUCAUAGCCACUAUGUUUUCUGCACUUGGAGUAGACAGCACCUUGAUAGCUCAGUUGGUAGAGCAGAGGACUGUAGGCAGUUCCUCCUAUGAAGUGCUGUCAUUCCAGGGUCGCUGGUUCAACUCCCGCUCAAAGCAAGCCUUGUAUUCAUCUGUCAGCUCCUCCAAAAUUUAAAAACACAAACAAGAUAACUCCUACUUUAUUUUCCAACCAUCAAUUUUUUAUUCACCCAGCCUAAAAGUCCUGAUUAUCAGUUCUGGGUCCCUGGCAAUGACUGUUGGGUACAAACUGAGAAGCUGUGCUCUGAAGGUAGGGCUGGGCUUUUCACUGACCAUGUAGGUGGAUUAGUUGUGUGGGCAAAGUGUGUCAUCAUAGCCACUAUGUUUUCUGCACUUGGAGUAGACAGCACCUUGAUAGCUCAGUUGGUAGAGCAGAGGACUGUAGGCAGUUCCUCCUAUGAAGUGCUGUCGUUCCAAGGUCGCUCGUUCAACUCCCGCUCAAAGCAAGCCUUGUGUUCAUCUGUCAGCUCCUCCAAAAUUUAAAAACACAAACAAGAUAACUCCUACUUUAUUUUCCAACCAUCAAUUUUUUAUUCACCCAGCCUAAAAGUCCUGAUUAUCAGUUCUGGGUCCCUGGCAAUGACUGUUGGGUACAAACUGAGAAGCUGUGCUCUGAAGGUAGGGCUGGGCUUUUCACUGACCAUGUAGGUGGAUUAGUUGUGUGGGCAAAGUGUGUCAUCAUAGCCACUAUGUUUUCUGCACUUGGAGUAGACAGCACCUUGAUAGCUCAGUUGGUAGAGCAGAGGACUGUAGGCAGUUCCUCCUAUGAAGUGCUGUCGUUCCAGGGUCGCUUGUUCAACUCCCGCUCAAAGCAAGCCUUGUCUUAAUCUGUCAGCUCCUCCAAAAUUUAAAAACACAAACAAGAUAACUGCUACUUUAUUUUCCAACCAUCAAUUUUUUAUUCACCCAGCCUAAAAGUCCUGAUUAUCAGUUCUGGGUCCCUGGCAAUGACUGUUGGGUACAAACUGAGAAGCUGCGCUCUGAAGGUAGGGCUGGGCUUUUCACUGACCAUGUAGGUGGAUUAGUUGUGUGGGCAAAGUGUGUCAUCAUAGCCACUAUGUUUUCUGCACUUGGAGUAGACAGCACCUUGAUAGCUCAGUUGGUAGAGCAGAGGACUGUAGGCAGUUCCUCCUAUGAAGUGCUGUCAUUCCAGGGUCGCUGGUUCAACUCCCGCUCAAAGCAAGCCUUGUAUUCAUCUGUCAGCUCCUCCAAAAUUUAAAAACACAAACAAGAUAACUCCUACUUUAUUUUCCAACCAUCAAUUUUUUAUUCACCCAGCCUAAAAGUCCUGAUUAUCAGUUCUGGGUCCCUGGCAAUGACUGUUGGGUACAAACUGAGAAGCUGCGCUCUGAAGGUAGGGCUGGGCUUUUCACUGACCAUGUAGGUGGAUUAGUUGUGUGGGCAAAGUGUGUCAUCAUAGCCACUAUGUUUUCUGCACUUGGACUAGACAGCACCUUGAUAGCUCAGUUGGUAGAGCAGAGGACUGUAGGCAGUUCCUCCUAUGAAGUGCUGUGGUUCCAAGGUCGCUGGUUCAACUCCCGCUCAAAGCAAGCCUUGUGUUCAUCUGUCAGCUCCUCCAAAAUUUAAAAACACAAACAAGAUAACUCCUACUUUAUUUUCCAACCGUCAAUUUUUUAUUCACCCAGCCUAAAAGUCCUGAUUAUCAGUUCUGGGUCCCUGGCAAUGACUGUUGGGUACAAACUGAGAAGCUGUGCUCUGAAGGUAGGGCUGGGCUUUUCACUGACCAUGUUGGUGGAUUAGUUGUGUGGGCAAAGUGUGUCAUCAUAGCCACUAUGUUUUCUGCACUUGGAGUAGACAGCACCUUGAUAGCUCAGUUGGUAGAGCACAGGACUGUAGGCAGUUCCUCCUAUGAAGUGCUGUCGUUCCAAGGUCCCUGGUUCAACUCCCGCUCAAAGCAAGCCUUGUCUUCAUCUGUCAGCUCCUCCAAAAUUUAAAAACACAAACAAGAUAACUCCUACUUUAUUUUCCAACCAUCAAUUUUUUACUCACCCAGCCUAAAAGUCCUGAUUAUCAGUUCUGGGUCCCUGGCAAUGACUGUUGGGUACAAACUGAGAAGCUGUGCUCUGAAGGUAGGGCUGGGCUUUUCACUGACCAUGUAGGUGGAUUAGUUGUGUGGGCAAAGUGUGUCAUCAUAGCCACUAUGUUUUCUGCACUUGGAGUAGACAGCACCUUGAUAGCUCAGUUGGUAGAGCAGAGUAAUGUAGGCAGUUCCUCCUAUGAAGUGCUGUGGUUCCAAGGUCGCUGGUUCAACUCCCGCUCAAAGCAAGCCUAGUGUUCAUCUGUCAGCUCCUCCAAAAUUUAAAAACACAAACAAGAUAACUCCUACUUUAUUUUCCAACCAUCAAUUUUUUAUUCACCCAGCCUAAAAGUCCUGAUUAUCAGUUCUGGGUCCCUGGCAAUGACUGUUGGGUACAAACUGAGAAGCUGUGCUCUGAAGGUAGGGCUGGGCUUUUCACUGACCAUGUAGGUGGAUUAGUUGUGUGGGCAAAGUGUGUCAUCAUAGCCACUAUGUUUUCUGCACUUGGAGUAGACAGCACCUUGAUAGCUCAGUUGGUAGAGCAGAGGACUGUAGGCAGUUCCUCCUAUGAAGUGCUGUGGUUCCAAGGUCGCUGGUUCAACUCCCGCUCAAAGCAAGCCUUGUCUUCAUCUGUCAGCUCCUCCAAGAUUUAAAAACACAAACAAGAUAACUCCUACUUUAUUUUCCAACCAUCAAUUUUUUAUUCACCCAGCCUAAAAGUCCUGAUUAUCAGUUCUGGGUCCCUGGCAAUGACUGUUGGGUACAAACUGAGAAGCUGUGCUCUGAAGGUAGGGCUGGGCUUUUCACUGACCAUGUAGGUUGAUUAGUUGUGUGGGCAAAGUGUGUCAUCAUAGCCACUAUGUUUUCUGCACUUGGAGUAGACAGCACCCUGAUAGCUCAGUUGGUAGAACAGAGGACUCUAGGCAGUUCCUCCUAUGAAGUGCUGUGGUUCCAAGGUCGCUGGUUCAACUCCCGCUCAAAGCAAGCCUUGUCUUCAUCUGUCAGCUCCUCCAAAAUUUAAAAACACAAACAAGAUAACUCCUACUUUAUUUUCCAACCGUCAAUUUUUUAUUCACCCAGCCUAAAAGUCCUGAUUAUCAGUUCUGGGUCCCUGGCAAUGACUGUUGGGUACAAACUGAGAAGCUGUGCUCUGAAGGUAGGGCUGGGCUUUUCACUGACCAUGUAGGUGGAUUAGUUGUGUGGGCAAAGUGUGUCAUCAUAGCCACUAUGUUUUCUGCACUUGGAGUAGACAGCACCUUGAUAGCUCAGUUGGUAGAGCAGAGGACUGUAGGCAGUUCCUCCUAUGAAGUGCUGUGGUUCCAAGGUCGCUGGUUCAACUCCCGCUCAAAGCAAGCCUUGUCUUCAUCUGUCAGCUCCUCCAAAAUUUAAAAACACAAACAAGAUAACUCCUACUUUAUUUUCCAACCAUCAAUUUUUUAUUCACCCAGCCUAAAAGUCCUGAUUAUCAGUUCUGGGUCCCUGGCAAUGACUGUUGGGUACAAACUGAGAAGCUGUGCUCUGAAGGUAGGGCUGGGCUUUUCACUGACCAUGUAGGUGGAUUAGUUGUGUGGGCAAAGUGUGUCAUCAUAGCCACUAUGUUUUCUGCACUUGGAGUAGACAGCACCUUGAUAGCUCAGUUGGUAGAACAGAGGACUGUAGGCAGUUCCUCCUAUGAAGUGCUGUGGUUCCAAGGUUGCUGGUUCAACUCCCGCUCAAAGCAAGCCUUGUCUUCAUCUGUCAGCUCCUCCAAAAUUUAAAAACACAAACAAGAUAACUCCUACUUUAUUUUCCAACCGUCAAUUUUUUAUUCACCCAGCCUAAAAGUCCUGAUUAUCAGUUCUGGGUCCCUGGCAAUGACUGUUGGGUACAAACUGAGAAGCUGUGCUCUGAAGGUAGGGCUGGGCUUUUCACUGACCAUGUAGGUGGAUUAGUUGUGUGGGCAAAGUGUGUCAUCAUAGCCACUAUGUUUUCUGCACUUGGAGUAGACAGCACCUUGAUAGCUCAGUUGGUAGAGCAGAGUAAUGUAGGCAGUUCCUCCUAUGAAGUGCUGUGGUUCCAAGGUCGCUGGUUCAACUCCCGCUCAAAGCAAGCCUUGUGUUCAUCUGUCAGCUCCUCCAAAAUUUAAAAACACAAACAAGAUAACUCCUACUUUAUUUUCCAACCAUCAAUUUUUUAUUCACCCAGCCUAAAAGUCCUGAUUAUCAGUUCUGGGUCCCUGGCAAUGACUGUUGGGUACAAACUGAGAAGCUGUGCUCUGAAGGUAGGGCUGGGCUUUUCACUGACCAUGUAGGUGGAUUAGUUGUGUGGGCAAAGUGUGUCAUCAUAGCCACUAUGUUUUCUGCACUUGGACUAGACAGCACCUUGAUAGCUCAGUUGGUAGAGCAGAGGACUGUAGGCAGUUCCUCCUAUGAAGUGCUGUGGUUCCAAGGUCGCUGGUUCAACUCCCGCUCAAAGCAAGCCUUGUGUUCAUCUGUCAGCUCCUCCAAAAUUUAAAAACACAAACAAGAUAACUCCUACUUUAUUUUCCAACCAUCAAUUUUUUAUUCACCCAGCCUAAAAGUCCUGAUUAUCAGUUCUGGGUCCCUGGCAAUGACUGUUGGGUACAAACUGAGAAGCUGUGCUCUGAAGGUAGGGCUGGGCUUUUCACUGACCAUGUUGGUGGAUUAGUUGUGUGGGCAAAGUGUGUCAUCAUAGCCACUAUGUUUUCUGCACUUGGAGUAGACAGCACCUUGAUAGCUCAGUUGGUAGAGCACAGGACUGUAGGCAGUUCCUCCUAUGAAGUGCUGUCGUUCCAAGGUCCCUGGUUCAACUCCCGCUCAAAGCAAGCCUUGUCUUCAUCUGUCAGCUCCUCCAAAAUUUAAAAACACAAACAAGAUAACUCCUACUUUAUUUUCCAACCAUCAAUUUUUUAUUCACCCAGCCUAAAAGUCCUGAUUAUCAGUUCUGGGUCCCUGGCAAUGACUGUUGGGUACAAACUGAGAAGCUGUGCUCUGAAGGUAGGGCUGGGCUUUUCACUGACCAUGUAGGUGGAUUAGUUGUGUGGGCAAAGUGUGUCAUCAUAGCCACUAUGUUUUCUGCACUUGGAGUAGACAGCACCUUGAUAGCUCAGUUGGUAGAGCAGAGUAAUGUAGGCAGUUCCUCCUAUGAAGUGCUGUGGUUCCAA
rnacentral:lncRNA from 1 species